GUCCUUUUGUGUAUAAUUUAAGGUCUAGCCUGCCCACUGAAAAUUUAAAUGGCCGUGGUAUUUUGACCGUGCUAAGGUAGCAUAAUCAUUAGUUUUUUAAUUAAAAACUGGAAUGAAAGGUUGGAUAAGAAAAUGACUGUCUCUAUUAAAUUAUUAGAAUUUUAUUUUUAAGUUAAAAAGCUUAAUUGAAUUUAAAAGACGAGAAGACCCUAUAGAGUUUAAUUAUUAAAUAAAAAUUAUAUUUUAGUAUUUAUUUAUAUAUUUUAUUUAAUAAUUUAAUUGGGGUGAUUGAAAAAUUUAAUAAACUUUUUUUAUUUUUAAACAUAAAUUUAUGAAUAAAUGAUCCAAUAUUUUUGAUUAUAAGAUAAAAUUACCUUAGGGAUAACAGCGUAAUUUUUUUAUAGAGUUCAUAUUAAAAAAAAAGAUUGCGACCUCGAUGUUGGAUUAAAAUUAAUUUUUGGUGUAGAAGCUAGAAUAUUAGGUCUGUUCGACCUUUAAAAUUUUAC
rnacentral:rRNA from 1 species